GAAAUGACCAAAGAUCUGGCAGCAGAAGGGAAAAGAAAAAAUAAUGGGAAGAAGAGGAUUUAUCUGACUCAACUGGAGAUGGCUCCCUUCCCUUAUUUAUUGUUGCAUCCUGAAGCUUCCCCCAUGCUGGGCUCAGUGUGAACAAACAGCGCGGGAGAAUGCAACCACUGCAGAGGCAUAUGUUUGAGAUACCUGGCCACUGGAGGUCAUCUCGUCUACUAUAUUCACCGCAGAUAAAGAAUGAAAAGAGAAUACACAACCUUGUGAUUGCUAGCAGUGAAAGCUCAGAGUUAUGACAUAACAACAAGGCUCUCUCCGCUUACUCCUCUGCUUGCUUGUGGAUGAAAAGGGCCACGCCACCCCUGAUUUGACAGUAUCCU
rnacentral:lncRNA from 1 species